rnacentral:rRNA from 1 species
CGGCGAUGUCCGAAUGGGGAAACCCAGUGCAAUUCGUUGCACUAUCGUUAACUGAAUACAUAGGUUAACGAGGCGAACCGGGGGAACUGAAACAUCUAAGUACCCCGAGGAAAAGAAAUCAACCGAGAUUCCCCCAGUAGCGGCGAGCGAACGGGGAGCAGCCCAGAGUCUGAAUCAGCUUGUGUGUUAGUGGAACGGUCUGGAAAGUCCGACGGUACAGGGUGAUAGUCCCGUACACCAAAAUGCACAGGUUGUGAACUCGAAGAGUAGGGCGGGACACGUGGUAUCCUGUCUGAAUAUGGGGGGACCAUCCUCCAAGGCUAAAUACUCCUGACUGACCGAUAGUGAACCAGUACCGUGAGGGAAAGGCGAAAAGAACCCCGGCGAGGGGAGUGAAAAAGAACCUGAAACCGUGUACGUACAAGCAGUGGGAGCACCUUCGGGUGUGACUGCGUACCUUUUGUAUAAUGGGUCAGCGACUUAUAUUCUGUAGCAAGGUUAACCGUAUAGGGGAGCCGCAGGGAAACCGAGUCUUAACUGGGCGUUAAGUUGCAGGGUAUAGACCCGAAACCCGGUGAUCUAGCCAUGGGCAGGUUGAAGGUUGGGUAACACUAACUGGAGGACCGAACCGACUAAUGUUGAAAAAUUAGCGGAUGACUUGUGGCUGGGGGUGAAAGGCCAAUCAAACCGGGAGAUAGCUGGUUCUCCCCGAAAGCUAUUUAGGUAGCGCCUCGUGAAUUCAUCUUCGGGGGUAGAGCACUGUUUCGGCUAGGGGGUCAUCCCGACUUACCAACCCGAUGCAAACUACGAAUACCGAAGAAUGUUAUCACGGGAGACACACGGCGGGUGCUAACGUCCGUCGUGAAGAGGGAAACAACCCAGACCGCCAGCUAAGGUCCCAAAGUCAUGGUUAAGUGGGAAACGAUGUGGGAAGGCACAGACAGCCAGGAUGUUGGCUUAGAAGCAGCCAUCAUUUAAAGAAAGCGUAAUAGCUCACUGGUCGAGUCGGCCUGCGCGGAAGAUGUAACGGGGCUAAACCAUGCACCGAAGCUGCGGCAGCGACACUAUGUGUUGUUGGGUAGGGGAGCGUUCUGUAAGCCUGCGAAGGUGACCUGUGAGGGUUGCUGGAGGUAUCAGAAGUGCGAAUGCUGACAUAAGUAACGAUAAAGCGGGUGAAAAGCCCGCUCGCCGGAAGACCAAGGGUUCCUGUCCAACGUUAAUCGGGGCAGGGUGAGUCGACCCCUAAGGCGAGGCCGAAAGGCGUAGUCGAUGGGAAACAGGUUAAUAUUCCUGUACUUGGUGUUACUGCGAAGGGGGGACGGAGAAGGCUAUGUUAGCCGGGCGACGGUUGUCCCGGUUUAAGCAUGUAGGCUGGUUGUCCAGGCAAAUCCGGAUAAUCAAGGCUGAGGUGUGAUGACGAGGCACUACGGUGCUGAAGUAACAAAUGCCCUGCUUCCAGGAAAAGCCUCUAAGCAUCAGGUAACAUCAAAUCGUACCCCAAACCGACACAGGUGGUCAGGUAGAGAAUACCAAGGCGCUUGAGAGAACUCGGGUGAAGGAACUAGGCAAAAUGGUGCCGUAACUUCGGGAGAAGGCACGCUGGUGUGUAGGUGAAGUCCCUGCGGAUGGAGCUGAGACCAGUCGAAGAUACCAGCUGGCUGCAACUGUUUAUUAAAAACACAGCACUGUGCAAACACGAAAGUGGACGUAUACGGUGUGACGCCUGCCCGGUGCCGGAAGGUUAAUUGAUGGGGUUAUCCGUAAGGAGAAGCUCUUGAUCGAAGCCCCGGUAAACGGCGGCCGUAACUAUAACGGUCCUAAGGUAGCGAAAUUCCUUGUCGGGUAAGUUCCGACCUGCACGAAUGGCGUAAUGAUGGCCAGGCUGUCUCCACCCGAGACUCAGUGAAAUUGAACUCGCUGUGAAGAUGCAGUGUACCCGCGGCAAGACGGAAAGACCCCGUGAACCUUUACUAUAGCUUGACACUGAACAUUGAGCCUUGAUGUGUAGGAUAGGUGGGAGGCUUUGAAGCGUGGACGCCAGUCUGCGUGGAGCCAACCUUGAAAUACCACCCUUUAAUGUUUGAUGUUCUAACGUUGGCCCCUGACCGGGGUUGCGGACAGUGUCUGGUGGGUAGUUUGACUGGGGCGGUCUCCUCCCAAAGCGUAACGGAGGAGCACGAAGGUUAGCUAAUCCUGGUCGGACAUCAGGAGGUUAGUGCAAUGGCAUAAGCUAGCUUGACUGCGAGCGUGACGGCGCGAGCAGGUGCGAAAGCAGGUCAUAGUGAUCCGGUGGUUCUGAAUGGAAGGGCCAUCGCUCAACGGAUAAAAGGUACUCCGGGGAUAACAGGCUGAUACCGCCCAAGAGUUCAUAUCGACGGCGGUGUUUGGCACCUCGAUGUCGGCUCAUCACAUCCUGGGGCUGAAGUAGGUCCCAAGGGUAUGGCUGUUCGCCAUUUAAAGUGGUACGCGAGCUGGGUUUAGAACGUCGUGAGACAGUUCGGUCCCUAUCUGCCGUGGGCGCUGGAGAAUUGAGGGGGGCUGCUCCUAGUACGAGAGGACCGGAGUGGACGCAUCACUGGUGUUCGGGUUGUCAUGCCAAUGGCACUGCCCGGUAGCUAAAUGCGGAAGAGAUAAGUGCUGAAAGCAUCUAAGCACGAAACUUGCCCCGAGAUGAGUUCUCCCUGAGACUUUAAGUCUCCUGAAGGAACGUUGAAGACGACGACGUUGAUAGGCCGGGUGUGUAAGCGCAGCGAUGCGUUGAGCUAACCGGUACUAAUGAACCGUGAGGCUUAACCUU